CAGGUAUUACUUUGUCAUGUAUUAUAUGUUAUACGUAACCAGUAAAUAGACAAUACUGAGAAUCUUAUGUUCUUAUGUUUGAUUUGUAAAUUUUAGAAGAUACAUGCAGAGAAACCUGCCUCACCCAUCCGAAACUCUAAUGCAGAAGACACCAAUGCAGGAGAGCCUGAGAAAGAAACUGGAGAGGAAGAAUUAUUUGCUGGUUCUCCUAAGCAAACUCCUGCUACACCUUUAACACCUUCUGCACAGGUAAUGAUUACUCAAAACUGUGUCAUGUUUUAAUUGUUAUACGUGACUGGGAUAUAGACAAUGCUGACACUCUUAUGUUUCAUUUGUAAUUUUCAAAAGAUACCAGCAGAGAGCCCUGCCUCUCCUAUCCCAAACUCCAAUGCAGAAGACUCCAAUGCAGAAGAGCCUCAGAAAGAAACUAAGGAGGCGAAAAUAGUUGCUGGUUCUCUUAAACAAACUCCUGCUACUCCGGUAACACCUUUUGAACAGGUAAUGAUUUAUCUAAAUUGUGGGGAUCAAAUAAGUGAUCCCUUUCUAAUACACUUUUGAAUUUACAAAAUUUAUAUAACUGUUUUUUCCAUGGUAAUCACAUUUUUGUACUAGGUGAUCCCUGACUCGCGUGCAUAUUCUGCAAGAACUGACUGUAAAUAUAGAAAUCUCAUUUCCAUUGUUGCAGCCUCACCUGCUUAUUUUGUUAUUGAGACAACAAAAACUCGUCAGCCGCUCCCACGCAAGCGUGUUCCUAGACGCUCCCGCUUCCUCGACCUUGCUGAGUAUAGCGUUGAUCCCAGGAUCAGUGAUUUGUUUAAGAGCCGAACAAAGGAACCUGCUUACACGCCUCUCCCACAGUUGGAUGAUGGAGAGUUUUUGAAGUUUAAAGAGUUGCUUGAUGAUGAUGCAGACCGGUUUGUACCUUCUUUCUUUCAUCAGCUUAUCAUUGUAAUUUCUUUUAUCAAUUACAAUCUAAAAUUCCUUUUUACAGUUCUUUCACCAUAUGCACUGGACACAAACUGACUAAUGGCCACUUCUUAGACAUUCCAACCAAGGAUAAAUGGGUCACAACUGAGCAUAUGCAACUGAUCACGGGAAUGCUGGUGAGACGCCGGGCGUAAGCAUACAGUCUAAAGAGGGUUGCCAUCAUUGAUACAUGGUUUGCAAGUCUUGUUGCCACCCACUAUAAAGAUUUCAUGAAAUGAAAGGACAAGGAAAACUUCGAAUGGGGUUCAUUAAUCAAGGCAUAUGUAACAAGGAAAUCUACUGGGAUACACAUGAAAUCUGAAUUCCUGAAGCAUGUCGAUGUUGUCUACGUCCAAAUGAACUGGGGAUGUCCCAAUGAAAUUCUAGACUACUUUCUGUCCUCAACUCCGAAAGAAGUUGUGGCCUUUCUAAUGACCCCAAUCAUGGAUAGCAUUACUUGGCUUCUGAAGAGAUUUUGCUGCCCUACUCUAACUACCAACCUCACGACUGAGUCUUUCACUUGUUCACGUAUAACUGGAUUGUACAACAACAAAGGAGAUGGAGACUGUGGCCCUGUAGCAUGCAAGUUUCUUGAGAUGCAUGCUCAUGGUAUGGAGUACGCUGAGAUGUCUGCUCUUACUGAUGAGGUCGUCACUCGUAUUAGGAAGGUUUAUGCGAUGGACACUUAUGUUGCUUUUGUUGAAUGUGAGAACGAGUUCUAGUUGUUUGUUUAUGAACUUUUAUAUAAUAUAUAUGUAAUUUUAAUUGGUAGAAUAUUAUGUGUAUUGUGUACUGUGAUUUAAAUUAGGUAAUGUUCUAUAUAUUAUUGGUUUAUC